GCAGAAAAAGGAACCGUUUUGCUUUUCAAGUUCUCGGUCCCGGGAACACACGAUCUUUUCCUUUCACGUAGAAUAUGAAGCACUCCGAGUCAGGCCUAGGUCAAAAGGUCAACAACGUAAAACCCCCGUUCUGAUGCAUUCCCGAGCACAAACACACCCCCCCACACACACACACACACACUCGAAUGCAUACGAACCUGUUUAUAAAGUCGAGCACUUCGAAAGUUUUAACAUCGGAAAAGGUUCGACCGAAUUUCCAGAGUCAGUUCUUCACUACUUCGAAAGUUUGAACAUCGGCAAAGUUCAACAGAAUUUCCAGACCCCAGGGAUUUCUCGGCAGGUAAAAAUUUGUAUUUUAAUCAAUUAAUAGUUAAAUAUAAAUUGAAAUACAAUGUUUAUGUAAUUAUCCAGUAGGCAAUGAUAUUGAUAUAAACUUAGAACUAAUCAUUCUGAGUACAAAAAUCAUCAUACUUAUCUGGUCAUUAUGUAAUCUGGUACGAUACUUUAUCUAAAUUGUAAAUAUUCAUUACAUUUAUAUUACAGUGCAAGACCGAGUUAAGCUCAUCUGUUUCUAGUGUAUAGGUAAUUAAAAUUUGUCUCUUAGAUCUAUGUAGUGAUCUAAAAUGAGAAUGUUAAGUUAUUAAAAGUAUGUUUUACUGUUUUAUAGACAGCUUGCUGAUUAUUUCUGAUGAUGAGAUUCCCGAAACAACCACUCAGGACCUUUUGAAUCUGAGUUCCACACAAUUUGAGGGAAACGUGUCUAACAGUGAUUACGACGGAGAUAUUUCAGAUACGAGUGCUGCAAUAGAAGACCAAGAGGAAAUCAUCUCGGACACCGACAUUCAACAAGACAUCGAACUACAACAGAUCUGUGCAGUGUGGCGUGAAUUCUUCGAAGCAAAGACUGAUUUAUUGGAAAACUUUGGACAGAUUGAUUAUACACUUGAAUCUGGUCGAGGUACAGAUUUUAUCCCUUUACUGUACAGCACGCUUGAAAAUGUGAAUAGAUGUCUCACAGUGAGCAUAAAGUUGAUUAGAAAAUUGU